rnacentral:rRNA from 1 species
GAUGAACGCUGGCGGCGUGCCUAAUACAUGCAAGUCGAGCGAACAGACGAGGAGCUUGCUCCUCUGACGUUAGCGGCGGACGGGUGAGUAACACGUGGAUAACCUACCUAUAAGACUGGGAUAACUUCGGGAAACCGGAGCUAAUACCGGAUAAUAUAUUGAACCGCAUGGUUCAAUAGUGAAAGACGGUUUUGCUGUCACUUAUAGAUGGAUCCGCGCCGCAUUAGCUAGUUGGUAAGGUAACGGCUUACCAAGGCAACGAUGCGUAGCCGACCUGAGAGGGUGAUCGGCCACACUGGAACUGAGACACGGUCCAGACCCCUACGGGAGGCAGCAGUAGGGAAUCUUCCGCAAUGGGCGAAAGCCUGACGGAGCAACGCCGCGUGAGUGAUGAAGGUCUUCGGAUCGUAAAACUCUGUUAUUAGGGAAGAACAAAUGUGUAAGUAACUAUGCACGUCUUGACGGUACCUGAUCAGAAAGCCACGGCUAACUACGUG